UUGGAGGGCAAGUCUGGUGCCAGCAGCCGCGGUAAUUCCAGCUCCAAUAGCGUAUAUUAAAGUUGUUGCAGUUAAAAAGCUCGUAGUUGAAUUUCGGGAUUUAUCCGUCGGUCGGGCUUUUGGGUCUGUACUGGCGUGAUGGAUUCCUACCUUCUGAAUAACCGGCAUGUCAUUAAUUUGGUGCGCCGGGGAAGCAGGACUGUUACCUUGAAAAAAUUAGAGUGCUUAAAGCAGGCUUAUGCCUGAAUACAUUAGCAUGGAAUAAUGAAAUAGGACGGCAUGGUUCUAUUUUGUUGGUUUCUAGGAUCACCGUAAUGAUUAAUAGGGAUAGUUGGGGGCAUUAGUAUUCAAUUGUCAGAGGUGAAAUUCUUGGAUUUAUUGAAGACUAACUUCUGCGAAAGCAUUUGCCAAGGAUGUUUUCAUUAAUCAAGAACGAAAGUUAGGGGAUCGAAGACGAUCAGAUACCGUCGUAGUCUUAACCAUAAACUAUGCCGACUAGGGAUCGGACGAAGUUAAUUUUAUAAUGACGCGUUCGGCGCCUUACGGGAAAC
rnacentral:rRNA from 1 species